GUCAAAUUUAUGAAAGUAUAAAAGUAUUUAUAUAAAUGCAGGGCUUUGAUUUGUGUGGCUGCUUGUUUUGUCACAUGACCAACUAGGAAGUUAUAAAGUUUGGCUUCCUCCUGCCAUUUGCCAUUGUGUCUGGGUUCCCCUGUUAUGCAGGGUGAGUGCUUUGUGUUCCACUUCAUGGAGGACACAGAGGUGACUGCCUGAUUUUACAGUAAAGACUUGACCACCUAUUGAGUAGCUGGGCUACAGACAUUGAUUUGCACUGGAAUGUCCCAUUUUGCUCCCGUGUUACUGUGCUGUGGGGGAGCACUGAACGCUCUUGCAAAGUAGGCCUAUAUUCAUUGUAUGUGUUUAUUAUGCCUCUGCUCUUCAUAAGUGCUUUGAAUGAAAUUAGAAUCUAAUAUGUUUCUUUUCUCUUGCAAAGACCAGGCCAGUCACUGUUUUACUGUUAGUUCACGCCUUUUUUGUGGUGUUUUGUUUGUUUGCUCUGGCUGUCUUCAAAUAGCCACAGUAUUUACUUGCCCUGAGUGUUUCUACCUGGGUAAAUAUUGCCCCGUAGUUAUACUGUAUGUAAGCUUUAACUUUAGUCUAUUGUUGUACUGGGAGCUGGCUGUUCUCCUGCUUUUGUCUCCAUGUAGGUUCUCUUUGUACAGGGCCGGAUCCGCACCUGACUAGCUCCUUUCUGUGGGGGGCUGCACUGAGGGGGGACACUUCUAUCUUGGUGUGUACUGGUAAUAUACAACACAGUGUGUCAUAUUGUAGUGAUAUUCACAGCUAUUGCGUGUGUGCAGUGCUUGGUGUGUGCAUGCUUGUGUGGUGUGGGUUUUGCUGCCUCUUUCCUCUCUCUCACUGGGGCCACCUGAGAUGGGAGCUGUGUGUGCUGAUCCGACCUUAUUACUUUGAGGAGUCCCAGCCAGUUGCCCUCCAUUGUCCUUGUUCCUGUCUUUCACAUCAUUUAAUUGUAUUUAUACUAAUUUGUAAUAAAUUUGAACUGCUCAUA